AGACCCGGGGAGGAGGUAGGGGUAGAGGCGACCGGCGGUGACCUCUCAAGGUCCCUCUCCGGCGCCGCCGGCCCCUCCUCCGCCCGCAGGUGGGCGCGCCCUGCCCGGUGACGUCACCCCAACCUGAGGCCGGCGGGGGAGGGGCCGGCGAGGAUGAGAGACCCCAGCAGGAAAUGCAGCUGAGCACAGAGGGAUGGAACAAGCCCUGUCUACUGCUUUAUUAAGCCCCAGCAGAAAAUAUACUGAAGCCAGGUUCUCAGUCACUUCAGCGUUUCAUUUGGGCUUCAAACUCUGAUGAAGUGAGCCCCACGAAUCCCCUGUGGACAGGCAUGACACAACGCUGGCAGGCAUGUGCCAGGCAGGGAGAGGGUAGGAUGGCUGGUGGACCCUCAGAAAGACCCGACCUGAGCUUUCCCUGUAGGGACUGAGCAGAGUGGAGAAUUGAGCCCCCUAAAGUGAGCAGCACAGAGCCAUGGGGGGCAGGGGCAUCCCUGGCUGCAUAGUGGGAAGGCAAUGGCCUGGCCGCCAGGGACAGGCACAGGGAUGCCCAGCCAGGCCCGCUGUCUUCCCGUGUGAGGAGUGAGGCGCCAGGGUAUGCGGUGGGCAGGAAGCUACAUCCUGAAUGUCAAGGGGCAGCCCAGGCUGCUCCUCCUUCCCUCCCCUGCAGUUCAGCUGCAGCUCCUUGGGGUCUCCACUGAGGAGGGGGCCAGUGGGUACCUGCUGUGGGCACCUCCACUUCUGCUCCAAACCUAAGAGGGGCAGGGCAGGUCCCCACAGGCAGUGUCCUGGGGACCACCCAACUGAGACACAACAGGCUCUGGCUGUGAUGCACUUUAAUGAGUGCCCUGCCCCUAUCCAACCAUGCCUGGCUAGCUGUCCCAUGAGCUCUGGCUGACCACCCUCUAGUCACAGGAGCCAUCCUUCCAGCCGUCGCGCCAGCGCUCAUCCACUUUUGAGCAGUCGAAGUCAGGCUUGCCCAGCUUGCGGUUCACUUCAUUGUGCAGGUGGCACAGCCACUGUGUGAAGCAUGCCCGGGUGCGGGUGUCUGGGUGGUUCCUGCACAGCCUGUGUAGGGAGAGCAGGUAAAGAAUGAGAGGACGCAGCGGCUCCACUGCCCCUGCCAGUUCCCUGUCUGCUGUCAAGGAAGGAGAGCUGGGGCACUGCUGUGAACUACACCUGGGAGUGCCCUUAUGCUCCAAGGUACAGGCACUCCCAGAACAGGGCUGACCCUGCAGCUCCCCGGGUGUGAUGAACUCCCAGGGCUGCGCAAACACCCACCUGGACAGCUUGGCAAACUCCAACGAGGCCUCAAGGCAACACAUUACAGCACAGACCUGGCAAUUUUAUAAGCUCCUAACACCCAGGAAGCGGCAUCCAGUGUCCCUGGCCUCAGGCAGAGUGUGGCCUGGGUGGGGCUGGGCACAGCCUUGUAACUGAAAACUGGACUUGUUUCUUAGCAUCUGAGGGCAGGCCCUGGUGCGUCAGUUCAGCAAGAGACUUCAUUCUAACUGACCAGCCUUAUAGCAACAAUGGCGGCUCUACCCUAUACAUCUGGCCUAGAAACACCUGCAAGGGCCAGUGCUGGCUCUUGGAUCCCUCAGUGAGGAAGAGAUGGCUCUUGGGAGCAAAAGCAGUGGAUUUCCAAGAUUUUAAAACCAGAAGUCCUACUCUAGAAGUCAGGCAAAGUGGAGUCUUCCCUAACUUGCGGGAAACCGCCUUCAGUGCCAGACAAGGCAGGGAAUCCCUUCCUGGAAGCCCUGUGGCUGUGGCAGGAGCAGUACCCAGCAGCAGAUCCCGACAGCUUGGCUUCUGAGACGAGAGGAGGAGGCUCAGAUAGCCCCAGUCCUCACCUGUUGGAGGUCCCUGCUCCUCAGCAAACUUCUGCCACCUCUGCAUCCGUUUCUCUACGUUCCCCGCUAUAACGUCAGCCAGGAGCCCCAGGCCCAGGCUCCAGUGCAAAGCUCUGCUGCGUGCAAACACAUCUUACCUUUUUCUUAGGUCUUCAGCACACUCCUCACAGGGGUAAAACUUAGAAAAUAA
ensembl:lncRNA novel transcript